rnacentral:lncRNA from 1 species
AUUUUUUUGGUUUCUAGAUUUUUCUAUUUUCUCUCUCUCGCCUACGUGCGAUUCUUCUUCAUCUCCUUCUCUAUUUUUUUGGUUAAAAAUCUCAUAUUAAUCCUUAGUUUUAGUUUUAACCUUUGUAGAUGGCCUUGCUACAGUAAUUUGAGGCCUUGUUUUAGUCUCUUUGGUUUUUUCAAUUGUGAAAUGGAGUGUUUAAGGUUAAGUGGUUGAAGGAUUGGUUAUGGUUUUGGAGAUCCAUGUGAUUGAUGAACAAAACCUAUGUUUUUUGAGUGGUUGAUUUACACUAUACUCUCUUGGAAGGUUAUUUUUCACUAGAGGAACGGGUUCAAUUCCUGAGCCCCCUAGAUUAGACAAUUUUCGGCUGAACUGGGUCAACAAUCUUGUGUUUUUUACGUUUUAUAGUUUUUUUUUUUAUUUCUUGGGCAUUUUGGUGUUUAUUAAUAAGUGUUUUCAUCAAGAAAAACCCAACACUUUUCUUAUUCUACAAGUAGAAUAUUUGAUUGUCUCUGAUGAAUGAUUUGCUACCAUUCUCUAUGUUUAGGAGUGGUGUGUUUCACCUUUUACGGCUUUAUUGUGCCAUGGUACUCCAGUGUCCAACCUAUUAUUUCUAAAAAUAGUUAUGUUGGAUGAUGUUGUUCUCUUUGAUACCUUAUUCAUCUGUUUGUCCUUCAUAUUAAGGGAGUAUCUGUGGAGUGGGUUAUGAUCUUGCCAAUUAUUACAGAACUAAGGGGUUCCACCUCUGAGUAUUCUUUCAUUUGCAAAUACAUUGUUCUAAUGAAAAAUGAAGAUUGUUCUAAUGAAAAAUGAAGAUACAUGUCCAAUUACUGUCGACUUUGCUUCCUGAACAUAUCUUAUUUUUGACCGAUUUCCUCUUCCAUUCUCUUUGGAUCUUAGCUUACAAAUUUGGGAUAUUGAUUGUUUUCCGGUUGUUAUGACUAUAGUUUGGGAAGAAAAUUCAUCCUAAGUGUGUUGUUUCUCACCUGACGAAUAAUUUCUUGUUUCUUGCUUAGUCGAUGAAUUUAUUGAGGUUUGAUUAUUACAAAUUCCUUCAUUAGUACAAAUUGAGGUUUUUUAUUACAAAAUCCAUAAAUCGUUAGAAAUUUCUAGCUACUCCUUGGUUGCUCAUUUUAGAUCAUGCUAGGUAUGGGAUCACAUAAGUGGAAACCUUAAGAAGGAUCUUCAAUAUCAGGCUCAUGUAAGUUGUGUGUUCUUCUAAUUUUCAUUCUCUUUCCCCGUCUUAGUUAUUUUAAUUUGUUAAACCUAUUCUAUUGUGCUUGCAUGAUAUAACUCUGGAUCUGUGAGGCUUAAAUUACUUAAUAAUAUGGUGUUAUAAUGCAACAAAUUGGAUAAAAAAUAGUUUAUUAAGGAAGUGAUUUUCGAUGUUUUAUCAUCAUUGUAUCAAGAGAAUUGCCAUUCACAGUUAACUAAAUAUAAGUUGGCACUAAAUGGUUGACAUGUAGGGCUUGAAACAAACUGCAAUAUGUUGAAUUCUUAGUUCUAAUGGAUCUUUUUCUUACCUCUCCUUUUUCUUAUUUGUUCAUUACCCCUUUAGAGGGGCUAAGUUAUUUAUUUUUCUUUAAUCAUAUAAAUGGAUGAGAUAAUAGAUACACAUCUUCUUGUCUGUUGCAUUUGUUGUUUUCCAGAUUGGCAAAUUAAUUAUUACUAACAUGUCCACAUGGUUCAUGACUUACAGCAUUAACUAUUUUCAAUUUAAUUCUCAACUCAUAAAAUGUUAGUCUUUUUUGGUCGAUGGUCAUUGUAUUAUGAAUACUUAGUGUCAUUGUUUUGUUCUUCAUGAGUUUACAGUUAAAUGUAUUAUGUUUUUGUAAUGAUUGAAUCAUUUUAUGGUUAGGAAUAUUGGAUACAAUUUCGUGAAAUCACAAUUGUGACUUUCUUGUUUGUGAUGCAGGAAGUUCUGAAUCAACUGAGGUCGAGAUGUCAGAUUGCAUGUUGAGAUACCAUGAGAUGGCGGAUUGGCGCAAAGAUGGAAAGUGAUUGCAACACUUUCCUUAAUUGGGGCAAUUUCGAAACGUUUUUGGUAAUUUGGUCAUAACUUUGGCUACGGUUAUCAGAAUAGCUAUUAUAAUCCCAAUUCGAAAAGCUCUUUUCAGUACACACGUUGUUGUCAAGCCAUACUCAAUGGGCAUUAAUUUCGAGGCCAAAAUUUGUUGUUCUCCCGUUCAAAUUUCAAUUUUUAGUUAUUUUUUUCAUUUAUUAUAAUAUUUCGUUUGAUUUUUUCUAGUUGAUUUCAAAUCUGAUUUGAGCCAAAUUUUUGGCAAGUUCCUUCUUUUAUUCCAUAUUUUAUUUUGGUGUGGUUUUCGGGAUUUUGCCAUUUUUGGUAAAAUUUCCAUAAUUUCAUAUUUUUUAGCUAUUUAACCCGACUUGUGAUUAAUUUUCGUAUUCUGCAUUUUAAUAAAGUUAAGUUGAAUUUCAGAAAAUUCUCUCUAUUUCUUGGGCUUUUUCCAUCGUAUUCUUCCUGUGAAUUAUCUAUUGCAACUAGCCUGCAGGAUAAUCACUAUCUCACCCGACGUCAGUUUGUAACAUGGCAGGUAAACUUUUAUGAUGCACAAUGAUGUUGUCUUCUCAGUUGAUUUUAGUAGAGACUCUGAGAUGCUUGCAUCUGGAUCACAAGAUGGAAAAAUAAAGGUUAAGCUUGCUUUCAUUUUCUGCUUUAAUGUGAUUAUUCUCAUGUUGCUUUGUCUUCUAAUUUCCCUAACAUCUAAAAAGAGUUAAAAAAAAGAAGCAUCUAGACUUAUUCAACACAAAAUAACUUAAAGAAGUUAGAGAAUAUUACUUUAUGGUGAGAUAUUAUCCUCCAAAGAAUAUUUUUGGUAUAGCCGGGGAGUAUCAUGACAUCCAUUCUAAUUUGUUGCAAGGUUUUGAAGGACCCUCUAGUGGCUUGUAUUAUACAAUUUGAAAUUCACAAUUGUAAAUCUAUUUAGUAGAUGUUGUUCUCAUCUGUUUGGUUAUAGGUUUAGCGUAUUAGGACAGGUUAAUGCUAACACCGACUGGAACAUGCUCAUUCCCAGGGUGUCAUGAGCCUUGUCUUUUCACGAGAUGGAAGUCGGUUGUUAAGUACAGCAUUUGACAGCACAGCAAGGUUUGAACUCUUAGAGAUGGCUUUUGAAUUGAGCUAUAGUAUCCCCUUAAUCUCAUGCCCUCCACCACCCAAGGAAAAAAAAAAUCAGAAAAGGAUAAGAAGGAUUGUAGAUUCUUGAAAAGGUUCUCAUGAUCCUUACUUUUCUUAUAUUAUACAGAAUUCACGGAUUAAGUCAGGCAAGAUGUUGAAGGAAUUUCAUGGCCAUAUAUCUUAUGUUAACGAUGCCAUCUUUACAAGUGAUGGCUCUCUCGUCAUCUUUGUAUCAAGUGAUUGCACAAUGAAAGUAAGUUAACCUAGCUAUCUAUUAUUAAUUGAGGCCAAAUUUUUCAAGUUUGCUAAUCAUCUACAUGCUGAAUAAAACGAAUGGCAUCUAUAGGUUUAGGAUGUGAAAACUACAGACUGUCUGCAGACCUUUAAGCUGCUACCUCUAGGGAUGGCAAUUUGAACCGUUAAAAUCGAAAAUCGCGGUUAAACGAACCGAAUGGGGUAAAAAAAACCAAACUGAUGGUGCAAUGGGGCGGAUAUGGUAUUUGAUUUUAAGAAACUGGUUCGUGGCAGUGCGAAUAUGGUAUUUAUGCCGUCGAACCGAAAUCGAAUCGAUUAUCCGCUUAAAAAAUCAUUCUUUUAUUAGGUAUGGCAAGGUUUAGUGAGGAGGAAGUUGACAAAAAGGUACAUUUUUAUUUAAAUUUUAGUUAAAACCAUUCUUGAUUAGGUAGAAUCGUUAUAUUCUCUACUUAUAUUUCUUAUUUACUAUAU